rnacentral:rRNA from 1 species
UGAGCAAUCUGCCCUUCUCAUCGGAAUAAGCGUUGGAAACGACGUCUAAUGCCGAAUACGACCUCCCUUCGCACGAUCGGAGGUGGAAAGCUCCGGCGGAGAAGGAUGAGCUCGCGGCCUAUCAGCUAGUUGGUGUGGGUAAUGGCCCACCAAGGCGACGACGGGUAGCCGGCCUGAGAGGGUGACCGGCCACACUGGGACUGAGACACGGCCCAGACUCCUACGGGAGGNAGCG